UACGAAGGGGGCUAGCGUUGUUCGGAAUUACUGGGCGUAAAGCGCACGUAGGCGGAUCGAUCAGUCAGGGGUGAAAUCCCAGAGCUCAACUCUGGAACUGCCUUUGAUACUGUCGGUCUAGAGUAUGGAAGAGGUGAGUGGAAUUCCGAGUGUAGAGGUGAAAUUCGUAGAUAUUCGGAGGAACACCAGUGGCGAAGGCGGCUCACUGGUGCCAUUACUGACGCUGAGGUGCGAAAGCGUGGGGAGCAAACAGG
rnacentral:rRNA from 1 species